rnacentral:rRNA from 1 species
AGAGUUUGAUCCUGGCUCAGGACGAACGCUGGCGGCGUGCCUAACACAUGCAAGUCGAGCGGAGACAGUGUGUAGCUUGCUAUGAGCUGUUUUAGCGGCGGACGGGUGAGUAACGCGUGAGCAACCUUUCCCAGACAGGGGAAUAACACACCGAAAGGUGUACUAAUACCGCAUAAGACCACGGGAUCACAUGGUUCUGGGGUAAAAGAUUUAUCGGUUUGGGGUGGGCUCGCGUCCGAUUAGGUAGUUGGUGAGGUAACGGCCCACCAAGCCGACGAUCGGUAGCCGACCUGAGAGGGUGAUCGGCCACAUUGGGACUGAGACACGGCCCAAACCCCUACGGGAGGCAGCAGUGGGGAAUAUUGGGCAAUGGAGGAAACUCUGACCCAGCAACGCCGCGUGGAGGAAGAAGGUUUUCGGAUCGUAAACUCCUGUCCUUGGAGACGAGUAGAAGACGGUAUCCAAGGAGGAAGCCCCGGCUAACUACGUGCCAGCAGCCGCGGUAAUACGUAGGGGGCAAGCGUUGUCCGGAAUAAUUGGGCGUAAAGGGCGCGUAGGCGGCUCGGUAAGUCUGGAGUGAAAGUCCUGCUUUUAAGGUGGGAAUUGCUUUGGAUACUGUCGGGCUUGAGUGCAGGAGAGGUUAGUGGAAUUCCCAGUGUAGCGGUGAAAUGCGUAGAUAUUAGGAGGAACACCAGUGGCGAAGGCGGCCAACUGGGCUUUUACUGACGCUGAGGCUCGAAAGUGUGGGGAGCAAACAGGAUUAGAUACCCUGGUAGUCCACACCGUAAACGAUGAUUACUAGGUGUGGGGGGACUGACCCCUUCCGUGCCGGAGUUAACACAAUAAGUAAUCCACCUGGGGAGUACGGCCGCAAGGUUGAAACUCAAAGGAAUUGACGGGGGCCCGCACAAGCAGUGGAGUAUGUGGUUUAAUUCGACGCAACGCGAAGAACCUUACCAGGUCUUGACAUCGUAUGCAUAGUGUAGAGAUACACGAAGUCCUUCGGGACAUACAGACAGGUGGUGCAUGGUUGUCGUCAGCUCGUGUCGUGAGAUGUUGGGUUAAGUCCCGCAACGAGCGCAACCCUUGUAUUUAGUUGCUACGCAAGAGCACUCUAGAUAGACUGCCGUGGACAACACGGAGGAAGGUGGGGAUGACGUCAAAUCAUCAUGCCCCUUAUGACCUGGGCUACACACGUACUACAAUGGCAAUAGAACAGAGGGAAGCGACUCAGCGAUGAGAAGCAGAUCCCGAAAAAUUGUCUCAGUUCGGAUUGCAGGCUGCAACCCGCCUGCAUGAAGUCGGAAUUGCUAGUAAUCGCGGAUCAGCAUGCCGCGGUGAAUACGUUCCCGGGCCUUGUACACACCGCCCGUCACACCAUGGGAGUCGGUAACACCCGAAGCCCGUAGCCUAACAGCAAUGAGGGCGCGGUCGAAGGUGGGAUUGAUGACUGGGGUGAAGUCGUAACAAGGUA